AUUGAACGCUGGCGGCAUGCUUUACACAUGCAAGUCGAACGGCAGCGCGGGCUUCGGCCUGGCGGCGAGUGGCGAACGGGUGAGUAAUGCAUCGGAACGUGCCCAGUAGUGGGGGAUAGCCCGGCGAAAGCCGGAUUAAUACCGCAUACGACCUGAGGGUGAAAGCGGAGGGCCGAAAGGCCUCGCGCUAUUGGAGCGGCCGAUGUCGGAUUAGCUAGUUGGUGGGGUAAAGGCUUACCAAGGCGACGAUCCGUAGCUGGUCUGAGAGGACGACCAGCCACACUGGGACUGAGACACGGCCCAGACUCCUACGGGAGGCAGCAGUGGGGAAUUUUGGACAAUGGGGGCAACCCUGAUCCAGCCAUGCCGCGUGCGGGAAGAAGGCCUUCGGGUUGUAAACCGCUUUUGUUCGGGAAGAAAUCCUCUGGGCUAAUACCCCGGGGGGAUGACGGUACCGGAAGAAUAAGCACCGGCUAACUACGUG
rnacentral:rRNA from 1 species